rnacentral:lncRNA from 1 species
UCCUGGAUACUUUUCAGUGAUUGACAGAUCACAAUUCAGAUCUAAUAGAUUACAUGUUAGAAAAAGGAAAAGUAAAAAAUAAAAUAUUAUUCAAGUCUCUGCUGGCCAUCCAUAAAUUCUUUUCAUAUCCUCCACAUCUCACUCCAUACCUAACUAUUUCUCACCCUUCCUCUUUCUCUUUCUAGGGUUUUCAGUUUGCAACCAAACCCUCUGAUCAAAAAAAUUGAAGGGUGUGUUUUUCUCACACAUCUCUUGCAAUAGAUUCAUGGGUUUCCCUUUGUAUUCUCUCAAGUUUUGUUUUCUUUGCAAAAACCACUAGGUGGUUUAGGGUUAGGUUUGUAGUGUCAAGAUUCAUAUCUAUAUUUUAUAUGCAUCUAUGUGAAGUCCCAAGUUUGGUUAGGUUUUGUACUUUGUAGUGUCAAGAUUUGUAUUUUUGUAUGGA